rnacentral:misc_RNA from 1 species
GGAUGGGAGCACUGAAGUUGGAUAUAGUCGAUAAAGAAGAUGGGGAAGAGAAAGGCAUGGUUAGAUUGGUGGAGGGAAGAGGUUAUUGUUGCUACUAGUUUUGAUUGGUGAGGAUGUUUGGAUUUGGGUUAUUAGGCAAGAAGGGAGGGGGAGGAGCAAUAGAAGGUGCAACAACCACGGUAGUAGCAAGAGGAGGAGAAUAAGAGAUGUGUUGAGAAAGAAUUCAGAUUAAUUAUACUGACUAUGAGAGAAAAAGGAGAUUUUUGAAACUUACCCAUAAAAAUUCAUGAAUUCGUUGAUUUAAAUUCGUUUCAGAUUAGAAAUGGAAAUUUGAUUUGAUUAUUAGAUUCGUCCUUGAAAUGAGCUGCUUUUUGCUGAAGACGAAUGAAAGAACUGAAAAUAGAGUUAGAGAAAGAAAAAAUUAUUUGAAAAAAAGAAAUAUAUAUGUAGGUAGAAAAUUGUUUCUUCAUAUGGACAGACAAACGAACGACAAUAGGAAACAUAGAGAUUUUUUAAACCGUUAAUGAAUUUUAAGUUGAGGUUUUUAAGUGUUUUGAUGAACUGGUUUGUGGAUUGUGGUUUUGUUUCAUUGUUGAUUUCGGUUCAUCAGAUGGAGAGAGGGAGGGAGGAAGGAGAUGAUCAGAUGGAGACAGAGGGAGAGGGAGGAAGGAGGUGACAAAGAGUAAGAAAGAGACUGUUAUUUUUAUUGUAAACUGCCAACGUGGCGUAUCCACCUAAGCUUUUAGCCGGAGAUUUCAUCAAAAAAUGGUCUGAGGGAUUUUGGAUUAUAUUAAAUUAAAGUUAGAGGAUUUUUGUGAUACAAAUUGAUGUUGAGGGAUGGUGCUGAAUUAACCCCCUAUUUUGAGGGAUGGUGGUUGAAAAUAAGCCCUUUUGGCUUGCUCAUUUUUUCUUUUCACGCAUGCAAAAGAAAAAAAUUUCAACAGAAAAAAAAAUGGCGAGCAAAAUACCCAAGAUUUCCUAAUACAGAAUUUGUCAUUUUGGAUACAUAUAGCCAAUAGAACAGAGCAUUGGCUUUUCAAUGGGAAGAACUUCGGUUUUUGGUGCUAUGUGUGGAAUCAUGUGAAAUGAAUAGACAGACAAAUUUCUGUUUAAAGAGGGGAUAUAGUAUCAUUAAUUUGUUUGGCUGCUCUCUCCACUCUAAUUUUUCAUUAUUUUUAUUUGCAGGUGGCAGAGAGGGCUUUGUUUUUAUGGAACAAUGAUCACAUUGAGAACUUGAUCCAACAGAAUCGCAAAGUUAUACUACCAAUCAUCUUCCCUGCCUUGGAGAGAAAUGCAAGACAGCAUUGGAAUCAGGCAGUACAAAGCUUGACGCUAAAUGUUCGCAAGAUCUUCUCUGAUAUUGACCUGGAGCUCUUUGAGGAGUGCCUGCUGAAGUUUCAGGAAGAUGAAACAAGGGAGAAGGAGAUGAAGGUGAAACGCGAAACCACAUGGAAACGCUUAGAGGAGAUGGCUGCAGUGAAGGCUACAAGUAAUGAGCCAGUGCUUGUCUCGCCAAAAAUGAUGACACGUGCACUAUCUGGCUAGAUAGUUGGAGACUCUCAAUGGUAUUUGAUUUGGUUAGCAGUUGGUGUGCGACGCAAACCAUAGAUAGAGGUGGUGAUUGAAGAGGUGGAAUAUGAAGUUAGACAUUGAUUCCUUUGCAUAGUCACCUUCAAUAUUUUUGGUUUGCGAUCUGAUUAGAAAACAAUGGGGGGAAAGGCGCAACUGUUGCAGAAAAAGGAAAAUCCCAUUUUGGUUAUCCUGGAGGACUGCGUGCAACAGAACAGGUAGGGUGCAGAAACAAAUGGGUAAGAGGAUAUCUAAAGCGCGGUUCUGUGAGUAAAUUUGAGGUGGUGAUAUGUUUAAUGUCGAGGAGAAGGGUGACAAAGAAAGCUUGAACUCAUUGUACAAUUGUUUAUUGCUUCUGGUUUAAUGAAAAGUAUGCUCAUGUCCUUGAGCAAACAAUGAGGUUCAGAAACAACCCAAAAAAAAAAAAAAACUUUUGAAAUGAAGGUAGAAAAGCUUAAGGAGAUAAAGAUCCAAACCUGCAAAAACCUGGAGAGGAUUCAAACAUUGGAGGUAGAGCUAGCUACUUUGAAGAGGGAGCAAGACUGUCUUUUGGCAGAAAGCAAGACAUGUAGAAAGAUAGCUGAAGAAAACAUUUUCAAGCCUGACUGUUGAGCUACAGAAGCUUCAGCCUAAAGAAGAGACUGCCAAAAAGGAUAUGACUAAUGUCUCUAGUCCUUUUGUUACAUUGAAAUCAUCUUUGUUAUAAUCAAUCAGUAUGCUUUUCAAUCUUGUACAUAGUUUUCCCCUAGCCAACUGCUGUGUUUGCUCUUUGAACAAUUUAUAAAAGUUGAUCAUUGGGAGGCUUGAUCUUUGAUCUCUGAAUUCACUUUUCAUUUGUUUUAUUUGCCUAUUAUGUGUCACUCUCUUCAUUUUUCUAGUUGCCUCUAUGCAUGUCCUUGAGCAUGUAGCAUACCUAUUAGGUCAUACUUUCAUGUGAAUGAUGUGUUUCUUAAUGAACUUAUGAUUGGCUCCUAAUUUUAUUGUUUUGAUCGAGACUACCAUAUUCAUGUUGUGAACUUAUGGAAGAUGGGAAGUAUGUGCUACAUCUAUCCGUGUUUCUUGCAACCCUCAUUCUUAAUGUCUAAUUAGUAAGGUAGAGAAUCUUAACAUCAUAGUUUAUUUGCUUAUUCAUACAAGUGAAAUCCAAAAACAGGGAUAGCCUAGAGCUGUUCCAUGUGCAUUAACAAUCUCCCAUGUAAAUUUGGAUGACUGACUAUGAUUCUAUCAUUGUACUGUAGCUUUCUGGUAAAAAAACAGCUACUAUAAUAUUGCAUCUCUCAAAGUUAUAGAACAUUUGGAGUUCUUGUAAAGUUAGAAUUCAUUGAUUUGCUUGUAUGUAAUUCCUACUUAGAAAUCAUUUCUGCAGCUUUUAUGUAACUGCUAAUUU